UUUGUUGGGAACAAACUCUAAAACGAGCAAUCUGUCGAAUUCUUGACUGCAGUAGCCAACCAGCUUAACAAGAUUUCUGUGACGCACAAUGCCAACGGCAUUAACCUCCUUCUCAAAUUCUUCUUUCUGCUGUCCAUCAAGCUCAAAAUUAAGUUUCUUAAUAGCUACGUCUAUAUCUCUUGAAAGGGAUCCCCUAUAGACAGUACCAAAACCACCACCGCCAAGGAGUCUGGCGUUGGUGAAAUGACCAGUUGCAUUUGCUAGUUCUGGAAAUGUAAAUGUCCUCAGUUCAUAUGCUUCAUAAUCCUUAGAUGAUUGCGUUUCUUGAAGAACCCAUAAUUCCUUGUGAGGCAUUUUUCCUUCAAGUGUUCUAACCAUCUGUUCCAUUGUUGGCCGCUGCCUUGAGAAUUUACUGUAUACGCUAGCAGCAGCACAAUAAAUUACUCGUUCCAUUUCACUUUGAUUGUAGUCUCCUUCCAAUGUAGAAUCAACAAGACUGUUAUAAUUGACAUUAACUGAAUCCCCGUCGAUCAUUAAAGACCUUGCCCAAUUAACAAUACUAACAUGGCCUUCAUAAAUUUUUCUUCCACUAAUAAGCUCUAAAAGUAAAACACCAAAUGAAUAAACAUCUGACUUUUUAUCAAAAUGAGCAUUUUUUGAAUCUUUAUAAAUGCUAGCUUCUUUUUUAUCAAUGGGGAUUUGUCUGAUAUCAAUUUCUGAAAAAAUUUUAGCCAGCCCAAAAUCUGCAACCUUUGCUUUAAAGUCAUUGUCUAGAAGAACGUUAUCUGACUUGAUGUCUUGGUGGAUGAUUUUAGGAUUACAUUUUUCAUGUAGAUAUGCCAAACCUCUCGCAGAGUCUAUGGCAAUUUGCAUUCUUUUUGACCACUUCAAACUUGAUCUUUGCUUUACAUCUGAUGCCAUUUAUCAUUUGUAUGAUCACAAUCAAAUGCUCAUAGCGCUUAGAUGAAAUCUCAAAGAUU
rnacentral:misc_RNA from 1 species